GACAGAGGAGCCAAGCGUUGUCCGGAUUGACUGGGCGUAAAGCGCACGCAGGUGGUGGGGCAAGUGCCGUGUGAAAGCCGGUGGCUUAACUGCCGGAGCCAUGGCAGACUGCCUGACUUGAGCCCGAGAGAGGUCCGUGGAAUUGCCGGUGUAGUGGUGAAAUGCGUAGAGAUCGGCAGGAACACCCAAGGAGAAAUCAGCGGACUGGCUCGGUGCUGACACUGAGGU
rnacentral:rRNA from 1 species